AAAUCAAGUUUGAGAGAGAAAUCCCGGACGCCUUAAGCACCGUUUACAAAUACUGGGAAAAUGGAUUCUGGUAUCUCCAGAAAGCUGGAACGAACUUCUCCUUAGAGGAAAUCCGUACGUGGGCCAAAAGACCGCUUCUUGGAAGUGAUGUAUUUUUGAUUGGGGAAGCAUUUUAUAACUUUGGCGGAUGGUUGGAAGAUACCAUUAGAUCUACUAAUGAGACGUUGGUGGAAGGCUGGCAAACGGAAUUAACACCGUAGUCUUAAUCUGCGAACUAACGAUUGCGGAAAAUGCUUGAAAGUGCGAUCGAUAAGAUAAAGAUUAUGAAAGAUUUGAACCUUAAAUUAUCUAUAAGGCCAAAGUAAAUGUGUUUCGGCGCUUUCCCCACCUUUUAGAGUUAAGAAGCAAGUUUAGUUGGUGCUCUAGAUGUUGGCUAG